rnacentral:rRNA from 1 species
UACGGAGGGUGCGAGCGUUGUCCGGAAUCAUUGGGCGUAAAGGGCGCGUAGGUGGCCCGGUCAGUUCGUGGUGAAAGCGCGGGGCUCAACCCUGCGUCGGCCAUGAAUACUGCCGCGGCUGGAGCACUGUAGAGGCAGGCGGAAUUCCGGGUGUAGCGGUGGAAUGCGUAGAGAUCCGGAAGAACACCGGUGGCGAAGGCGGCCUGCUGGGCAGUUGCUGACACUGAGACACGAAGGCCAGGGGAGCAAACGGG